UUCCAGACUCCUACGGGAGGCAGCAGUGGGGAAUAUUGCACAAUGGGGGAAACCCUGAUGCAGCGACGCCGCGUGAGUGAAGAAGUAUUUCGGUAUGUAAAGCUCUAUCAGCAGGGAAGAUAAUGACGGUACCUGACUAAGAAGCCCCGGCUAACUACGUGCCAGCAGCCGCGGCAAUACGUAGGGGGCAAGCGUUAUCCGGAAUUACUGGGUGUAAAGGGAGCGUAGACGGUGAAGUAAGUCUGGAGUGAAAUGCCGGGGCUUAACCCCGGAACUGCUUUGGAAACUGUGCAGCUAGAGUGCAGGAGAGGUAAGUGGAAUUCCUAGUGUAGCGGUGAAAUGCGUAGAUAUUAGGAGGAACACCAGUGGCGAAGGCGGCUUUCUGGACUGUAACUGACACUGAGGUACGAAAGCGUGGGGAGCAAACAGGAUUAGAUACCCUCGUACA
rnacentral:rRNA from 1 species